AGAUUAAGUAUUCUUAUUACAGAUAAUUCAGUAUUUCUUUCAGUAUCAAAUACAUUGUCUUCCUUUUCUUAAACAGCAGAAAGCAGAGAGGAGACAAAGGCUAGAGGAGAUGGAAAGAUUCCAGGAAACAAGAGUGAAAAUACAUACGAGAAUGUCAACCAUGAAAAUGUAUAUGAGAAUGAUGUGUAUGAAAACGUAAAACUUGAAGCUUCAAGAAGGCCAAGGGCUCCUACUCCUCCUCGGGUAUCAAACCCUCCUCCUGUGCGCAGGUGAGGAAUUGAAGACACGGAAACACAUCUACUGCAAGAUGAUCUAUCCUGCUGUAUAAAUUUUCUCUUUUUUCAGUUUUUUCUUUUUUUUAAUUUAAAAAUAUUUUUAAAAUGUAUAUGGCAUAUUACUGAAAUAUCAUAAACUGCUGCAUCAACCAUUUGUUCUCUGUGCUCCACUAAUACCUUUUAAUAAUAAAUUUGUUCCA